UUGCUCGCUUUGGCAGCACAUAUACUAAAAUUGGAAUGAUACAGAGAAGGAUAGUGUGGACCCUGAGCAAGAAUAAUAUGCAGAAUUAGUUUUCCCAGCACCAUUUGU
ensembl:snRNA U6 U6 spliceosomal RNA